rnacentral:lncRNA from 1 species
GUCUCUCAUAACAUCGCCGAGCUGGAGAACGCUCCGGCAAAUGAAAUCCACGGCGCCGGAUUAAAGGGUUAUUUCCCCGGUGUGCCGAGCUGACAUCGGAGGCCAAAGUCCAGGUCGCUCCACCGUCGCCUCUGCCUGCGGAUUCUCCUUGCCUCUUCUGUACCCGCUCCCGUGGUGGCUCCGAGCGGGGACUGCCGCCGGUCGGUUAGGGGCCAGGGCUCGGUGACGGUGGCGUGGUCCGGAGAGGCGGAUUUCCAGAGCCGAAGGGCGGGAGCUGCCUUCCUCUCUCCGGUUCCCCCGACGGCAUCCUCCCCUCCAGCCGGCCGAAGGCCAAACCCAGAAACGAGAGCCGACGGGCCGAAGCCCCAGCCCGAGCCGCCCCAGCUCCGCCCCAUGACGCUGGGAUGAUUUGAAGAAGAGUAAGAGUCGGAUGGGGCACCAGGGCGUGGAAUGAAGCAAUAAGAGGUUAAAUUGAUGGAAGACCAACAAGGGAAGGAUUCUGUCUCAGACCACGGAGAAACUCUGCUGAUUAAUGGGGUGAAAGACCAUGGUAAGGCACCCGGGAAAAACCGCUCACAGGGCGGGGAGAGUGGCAUUUCCCCAAACCCACGGCUCGGGUCCUGAGUUUUUCCGCAUUUCGGCCGUGAGGGAGAGGGGUGGGAUUGGGGGUUCUGUAUAGCU